rnacentral:rRNA from 1 species
UCCGUAGGCGGGCGUCUAAGUCAGUGAUGAAAUCUUACAGCUCAACUGUAAAAUUGCCAUUGAUACUGGAUGUCUUGAAUUAGUGUGAAGUGGUUAGAAUGUGUAGUGUAGCGGUGAAAUGCAUAGAUAUUACACAGAAUACCAAUUGCGAAGGCAGAUCACUAACACUAUAUUGACGCUGAGGGACGAAAGCGUGGGGAGCGAACAGGAUUAGAUACCCUGGUAGUCC